UACGUAGGUGUCGAGCGUUGUCCGGAUUUAUUGGGCGUAAAGAGCCCGCAGGCGGCUUGGCAAGUUUGGGGUGAAAUCUCCCGGCUCAACUGGGAGGGUGCCCUGAAAACUGUCAGGCUUGAGUCAUGGAGAGGGAUGUGGAAUUCCAGGUGUAGUGGUGAAAUGCGUAGAUAUCUGGAGGAACACCGGUGGCGAAGGCGGCAUCCUGGACCAAUAUUGACGCUGAGGAGCGAAAGCCAGGGGAGCAAACGGG
rnacentral:rRNA from 1 species